rnacentral:rRNA from 1 species
AUUGAACGCUGGCGGCAGGCUUAACACGUGCAAGUCGAGCGGGGGAAGGUAGCUUGCUACCGGACCUAGCGGCGGACGGGUGAGUAAUGCUUAGGAAUCUGCCUAUUAGUGGGGGACAACAUCUCGAAAGGGAUGCUAAUACCGCAUACGUCCUACGGGAGAAAGCAGGGGAUCUUCGGACCUUGCGCUAAUAGAUGAGCCUAAGUCGGAUUAGCUAGUUGGUGGGGUAAAGGCCUACCAAGGCGACGAUCUGUAGCGGGUCUGAGAGGAUGAUCCGCCAGACUGGGACUGAGACACGGCCCAGACUCCUACGGGAGGCAGCAGUGGGGAAUAUUGGACAAUGGGGGGAACCCUGAUCCAGCCAUGCCGCGUGUGUGAAGAAGGCCUUAUGGUUGUAAAGCACUUUAAGCGAGGAGGAGGCUACUCUAGUUAAUACCUAGGGAUAGUGGACGUUACUCGCAGAAUAAGCACCGGCUUACUCUGUGCCAGCAGCCGCCGCGG